rnacentral:rRNA from 1 species
AGGACGAACGCUGGCGGCGUGCCUAACACAUGCAAGUGGAGCGACGACCCGGGCUUCGGCCCGGUGCAAAGCCGCGAACGGGUGAGUAACACGUGGGUAACCUGCCCUGAUGAUUGGGACAACCCGAGGAAACUCGGGCUAAUACCGAAUGUGCCCUCUGGCCGUAAGGCCUCUGGGGAAAGGAAGCUUCGGCCUCCGCAUUGGGAUGGGCCCCGCGGCCCAUUAGCUUGUUGGUGAGGUAACGGCUCACCAAGGCAACGAUGGGU